ACUUAAUAGAGGACCGGUCUUCACAGCAGGAUGAAGCUACUCUACCUUAGUAGAAACCAUCCAAACAUUCUAAAAAGAGACCCAAGAAAUGGGAUCCUUCCCUUCCUAAAUUACUUAACAUGGCAAACUGCAGCAAGAUUUGAGUUCCUGGCUUCCAGAAUCUCCCACACACUGUCCAAGUGUUGCUGUCCCUCUUAGAGUUAUACCAACACUUUCUACACAGGACAUGAAAACUGCUGAUAAACAGGAAUUUACUAACCAUGACCUGAAGCUGCUUUUAAGAAGGCAUCGGGAGAAGAGGAAACGUCAGUCGGUAGGGAUCAC